rfam:Mycobacterium conspicuum strain DSM 44136 contig_81, whole genome shotgun sequence.
GGCGGUCUUCGGUAGUGGCUGCCGGGCUCUUUGUGGGGGCCGGCGGCUUCGAUCGAAUGGCCGUA